UGAUCGAGGUGACCUCCCCUCCAGGACUUUGUAAAAGAUAGUUCAAAAAUCAAGACUUUAUGUUCUAUAUUCCAUAUAUUUAUAGUAGAAGGUGAUUGGGACUUUUUACUGGAGUUUACUGUGGAUUAUCCCUGCACUCUGAGGCAAGAGAUAACAACUUCAUGGAUUGUGAAAUCAUGUUGCUUGAACCCCACUUCUAUGUUGAAUUCCCCAGAUGUUGUGAACUUCGUUCUGAUCAAAUGUUUCCUAUUACUUAUAUCGAUUGUUUAUAUCAUUCAUGAUUCCCCUUUAUGCAAUGUCACCCACCUUUAUGGAUUCUCCUUUAUUUUCUUGAAAUGUACCUAUCUGCCUAUAUGUAUUUAUACUCUUUGGGAUCCCCGGAAAAUAUGUGUUUUUCCUAGCUGGGUUUAUAUUCCAACUUUAUUUUUAAAUUUUCAUUUUAUCCCAUAUAAUUGGCAGAUCAUGAAAUCAAAUGGGAAAUAUUAUGACCCCAACCUGAACUCUAGCCCCAUGACUCAGACCUCCCUUCCCAAAAACAAAAGGAUAAUCUGCCACAGUUUAAUCCCCUCUCAUUCCGACCGCAUGGACAAUAUAGGGCGAGUCACCAAACUCCUAAAGGUGACUCGCCCCCAAGGCAAACAUUGUCACAUCUCAGGCCAGGACGCCGCAGGAAGGCACCCUGUGGGGCCGUCAAUGAUGGCUCAUCACCACCCACUUCCCGUCUGACACCCCAAAGACAUAUCUAAAAUCUGUGAACGUGACAGGACCCCGGACAUCCUUGAUGGGUGUCAUUAAUUCCUUUAGAAAUCGGCUGGGCCAGAAUUAAUCAGAUAUUUCCUGUCCGGUCACCUCUUUGUCUCAAUAGCUCCCGCCUCCUCCUCUCUGAUUGGCCCGAAUAGGGACAAUAAGCGGCUCCCCAUUGGGCCAGCAGAGCAAGGCGGGAAACGAAAGCCCGCCUCAUUCAACCUCUCAGCCUAUCCGCGAUCAGAUGGGCAGGGAAGCGGGGCGGGAAAUUCAAAGGGCUGUCAGACCAAAACAUUGUAUAAAUAUGGCUUUAUUUGAAACAUAUGUUACGCUAGUAGAUUGAAUGAUCACUAUUAGCGUCCUUUUCAGCUGAAUUGCUCAAUAAAACUCCUUGGCGGAUUUUCCUUCAACGUGGCGGACCUUCUUCAUUUCAGGCUUCAGGUUGUAUUGCGGCUUAUAUUCUUCUUUUGGCUUCGCCAAGGUCCGUUCCCUCAGGACCGGAUCGGCUUCCUUCUAAAGGGGCCCGAUCCCCCAAACGCGGUCGACAACAUAAUUUGGCUUUACCACGAAGGGACUUGCUUGGAAGUUCCAAAGAUCAAUUUUUUUAGGCUAAAAUUCCAAGCGGCGACCUUGGUCCAGAUAUUCUGGGACAGGUUGGGGAGAGAAACGGCUGCAAGGAGGGCCCUCCGACCAACAAUUUGACCUCAUUUCACAUCCAAAUUUCUCUGGCAGUCCCUUUCUCUCUCUAGAUCUGAUUCAGGGUACUGAACAAAGGAGCCAGAUAGGAGGAAGCAGAUUUUUAGCUCCUCGAAGGAAAGGCGCCAACGUGAAACAGGGGACGCCCUGUAAAAAUAAAAGGGAACCGGCCCCGUUGUUGAGACCCAGGUGGGCGGAGUCCUGGAGGUAUUGCACUUCGGAUCAGGGCUCGGUAACAAAUUCCUGGUGAAACACGGGAAGAUCUGGCACCCGGGGGACGUGUGAGAACAGUCUGGCUUGUAAGAUUACAGGUUCUAGGAUCGUGGGGUAGGGGAACGGUUGUGUUCCCGGGGCACCUGCGGAUCCCACGAACGCCAGCCAUUCAGCCUUGGUGUAGGGAGAACUCUUGAAAGGACGAGUUGCAUCCAGCCGGUGGGUGAGUCGUUACUCCAUUAACUGUCAGGUACUGGGCAGGGGCUGAGCCAAGGAUGGGUGUUUGUUCAAGCACGUCUAGGGUGUCCCACCCCAGCAGACAUCCCCAGGGAUUCUCCAUUGGGAAAGAUCCUGGCCAAUUGGGGUGGGCUUUGCAUCGAAAAACAUGGUGCAGGCCAGGUUGGGCUAACUCAGAGCACAUAAGUGGCCCCUUGUGGCCCUUGAAGGGGGAACAGCUUGCCCCCCCUUGCUCAAGUCGCCGAAUUCGGAGUGUUGACCUAAGGUGACUCGCCAGGGGGAGGGCAAGUGGUCCCAACUUGCUUAUGCUGCGAUGUUCAUGGCCUUAAGCCAGAGGGAGAGUGGAAGGGGAGAGGGGGUCCAAGUCUUCCCAUGCAGGGACGUGGGCUCCAAACCUACCCUCCUCAGAAGCUCCUCUCUAGACCUACUUCCCCUUACCCCCUCCUCCAGAGGAUUUUCUGGACACAUUUGCUUGCCCUCUCCCCCAAUCCCUAUCCCUACUUUUUCUCCUCACCCUGAGUCCUACACUGAUCCAAAUUGGCCUUCCAAGGGAACCCUUACUUCAGGGAUCCCCCCCCCCCAAGAAAUCCCCCUCCAGAGAGUUCAGCCCAGUCUAACGUGAAGGAGGGCUCCCAGCCCCCUCCCCUCUCACCCCGAAACACACCUGAUCCAAAACACUGUUCACACUCUCUCAGCCCCCAUCCCAGCCGUUCCUUUGAAGCCUGAUGCCCCCCCCCCCAAAUUGUAUCUGCCCCUGCCACUCAACUCCUGCCACAUUCUGAGUUUUCCUCAGAUGGGAAGAAUCGCCCCACCAUCCCCCUCCUUCUCUUGCCCCCACCAGGCUCUCUCUCUCUCUCUCUCUCUCUCUCUCUCUCUCUCUCUCUCUCUCUCUCUCUCUCUGCGCUCAUUCCUCUCUUGGAGAGACAGGAGAAGGAGGGGCCGCGGGGAGAUUGUGCAAAGAGGACACUUUUUUCCUCUUCCUGUUUUUGGAGGGGCAAAGGGGGGAGAAGAUUCAGUCCUGAAGCCUGCCACCAAGAUCUAUAGUUCUCCAAGGAUUGCUUCCUUCUUUCAAAUCAAAUCUUCUCCAACUUGAUAUUCUGCCUUGCCUACCCUCAAAUUGUACCCUUUUUUUCUUUUCUCUCUCUCUCUUCCCCGGCCUGAGUGAAAGUCUCUCUCUCUCCCUCAAAUCUCAAAUCCAUUUCUCCUCUCCUUCCUCUCUUCUCACCUUUUAAAAUCCCUUAUUUCCCUUUGUUCCCAUUUUCUAGACACUAUCCCUAAGAUUUUACCUCAGUGUUGUCUUAUAUUUCCUUUGGUCCUUACAAAAGGGGGGAGGGGGGCCAUUCCUUUAGCCGCUUCUGUUUCUUAAUUUCCCCUUUUUCUUUCUUUCCCAUCUGGGAAGCAUGGCAAAGGAUUUGGGUGGGGGAAGGGGACUCCCAGAAAAGUGUUGAUUAAAUUUUGUGUGUUUAUGUAAUGUGUGGGCUGUAAACUCUUCUCUACUCACCCCUUUGCCUUAAAAGCCACCAGUGAUAUAUAGUUUUCUGGGAAGGAGGGCUGGAAUGGACUAGCUUAGUGCUAUGCUCUCUCUCUCUCCCUUUUCUUCUGUGCCAUCUCACCUCCCUAUUUUCAAAGGUUCAAGCCCUAAUAUUUUGUGAGACCCCCCCCCCCAGAGAAAACCUGCUGCUUCUGUGGUUUUAACUUUUUCUUGUCUCUCUCUCCUCAAGCCUCCCUUAUCUUAGAGAGAAAAGGGGGGGGAUGGAAGAAUUGAUGUAUUUUUCUAUAUGUGAGUUUUUUUCUCUCUCUCUCUCUCUCUUCCACUUCAUGUUUUCCUAGGCCGAAAUGCACUUCAACAUUCUCCUUUUUCAAAGCUCCCCCCCCCCUUCCUUCCCAGCAUCCCCAUUUCUCCUUAUAAACAUUCAGUCAAAAUCCUGGUUUACUUUUAUAGUGAAGGCACUCUUUCACUCUCCACAGUUCCCCAACAAUCUCCUUUCUUCCUUUCGGGUCCUUCUCCCUCCCUUUCCCUGAGUGCAUGCGUGUGAAUGUUUUAAAAAAAUCCCUCUAACUGCCUUUAAUUAUGAGGAGGGCAUUAGAGUCCAGGGGACCUUCCAGGCACAGCUGAAGAGAUCCAGAGGACCGGACCCAACCACCUGACUGAGGACAUCAGACCAGACUGCAAGACCCAUAAUCCAUACCUGCCACCAUGAACAGUUCUAAGACCUGGGUAGGGGCUCUCGGAGUGCGCUGUGGAUUUCAUGCAGCAGCUAGAACCCAGAGGCCAUUGGAGAUGGUCCUGUGAGGGCUUUUAUGGCCAGACCACCGUAUGGUGCCCUCCAGCUGGCCUGGUUCUGCCCUGGCAAAGGGCUACUGAGUGCAGGUCUGCCUUUGACGCUGCCAAGGAGGCCCUCAUGACAUCACCAGGGGACAGAAUUGGCCGCCAUGGCAGAAGAUGCCCCAGAAGAAAUGAACAGGAUUCUACCAGUGACCACCAUGAGGGAAGGAUGUUCCACUUUCACCAGAGCUGUGCCAAAGAAGGACCCCAGGACUGCUGGAGCCCUCACAAGGUAUGAGUGACUUCCCUGACUAACCCCACCACGGGAGGGAGGGGGGGCUUAUAAUCUGUCCUUAGUUUCCCUAGGCACUCUCUCCUUUCCGUCUCCUCUGUUGGAGUGCUGGACCUGCCUGCAGUCACCAGGAGGCGCCGUGCUGUGAGGCGCAGAAGCUGUGCCCAGUUGCCCCCAGCUGCCAACUACAAAGGGGGGCCCAAGCUGCAGCCAAGAAAAGGCAGCCAAAUGGGAGUACUGCAUCACAGCCUCCAUCAUCCCCAGCCCUCACCACCUCCACCUUCAUGCUCCAUUUCCCAUGACUCCAGACCAAGGGACAUCUGUUUCAACACCAUGGGAUCACCCACCACUGACUGAACCUCAGCUUUCACCUCUUCAAGCUCCUGCCCUCCAACAAAAAGGCACAAUCUGAUCUACCAAGGCAGAGGCCCUGCAUGCAGUGAAAUGUCGGGGCUUUGGGAAAUGUUCAUAGCCAUUUCCAAGCCCCGAAGGGGGGAAAAUGUGAUCGAGGUGACCUCCCCUCCAGGACUUUGUAAAAGAUAGUUCAAAAAUCAAGACUUUAUGUUCUAUAUUCCAUAUAUUUAUAGUAGAAGGUGAUUGGGACUUUUUACUGGAGUUUACUGUGGAUUAUCCCUGCACUCUGAGGCAAGAGAUAACAACUUCAUGGAUUGUGAAAUCAUGUUGCUUGAACCCCACUUCUAUGUUGAAUUCCCCAGAUGUUGUGAACUUCGUUCUGAUCAAAUGUUUCCUAUUACUUAUAUCGAUUGUUUAUAUCAUUCAUGAUUCCCCUUUAUGCAAUGUCACCCACCUUUAUGGAUUCUCCUUUAUUUUCUUGAAAUGUACCUAUCUGCCUAUAUGUAUUUAUACUCUUUGGGAUCCCCGGAAAAUAUGUGUUUUUCCUAGCUGGGUUUAUAUUCCAACUUUAUUUUUAAAUUUUCAUUUUAUCCCAUAUAAUUGGCAGAUCAUGAAAUCAAAUGGGAAAUAUUAUGACCCCAACCUGAACUCUAGCCCCAUGACUCAGACCUCCCUUCCCAAAAACAAAAGGAUAAUCUGCCACAGUUUAAUCCCCUCUCAUUCCGACCGCAUGGACAAUAUAGGGCGAGUCACCAAACUCCUAAAGGUGACUCGCCCCCAAGGCAAACAUUGUCACAUCUCAGGCCAGGACGCCGCAGGAAGGCACCCUGUGGGGCCGUCAAUGAUGGCUCAUCACCACCCACUUCCCGUCUGACACCCCAAAGACAUAUCUAAAAUCUGUGAACGUGACAGGACCCCGGACAUCCUUGAUGGGUGUCAUUAAUUCCUUUAGAAAUCGGCUGGGCCAGAAUUAAUCAGAUAUUUCCUGUCCGGUCACCUCUUUGUCUCAAUAGCUCCCGCCUCCUCCUCUCUGAUUGGCCCGAAUAGGGACAAUAAGCGGCUCCCCAUUGGGCCAGCAGAGCAAGGCGGGAAACGAAAGCCCGCCUCAUUCAACCUCUCAGCCUAUCCGCGAUCAGAUGGGCAGGGAAGCGGGGCGGGAAAUUCAAAGGGCUGUCAGACCAAAACAUUGUAUAAAUAUGGCUUUAUUUGAAACAUAUGUUACGCUAGUAGAUUGAAUGAUCACUAUUAGCGUCCUUUUCAGCUGAAUUGCUCAAUAAAACUCCUUGGCGGAUUUUCCUUCAA